AAUAAGAUCAUUUUUUAGUUUUUUGAUACAAUAUUUUUGACUCUUCGUCUUAUUUGAAAAUUUUUUGCGAUUAAUAUUUUUAUUCUUACUCGAUGAUAAAACAUAAAUGGUAUUUUAUACGUGACUAUUUUUUAAAUUUUUUUAUAAAUUUUUUAAAUAAGAUGAACGGUCAAACGUUGGAUACAGAAAA
rnacentral:pre_miRNA from 1 species